UGAGCAGCAUGUGCUCAUAUAGUCCUCCGGCGGUCUAUAUUAGGUGCAGUCUGGUGAGGGGGCUAUCGCGAUAUUGUGCAGGAAAGUAUACGGCUGAGAGGAACGUUCAGCCGUGGAGUAACCAUUCCACUGCGGUCUGCGCGUUCUCCAAGGUAUUCAGCGCUGGUCUAUUUUCGGCGAAAGGACUAGAAAGGUGCCCACAAACAGCCUAAAAGUCUCACUGAUGGUGCGUCUUGUAAUCGUGGAAGACAAGCUACAAACACACUUCACGUACUGCUGCUGCAGCGAAGAUACGAAACAAGCACGACUACGUGAAUAAUGAUGUCGAAUUAACGAAACGUCGAAUUAACGAAAUCUUGUCUCCAGAGAACCUUCAACUUCCUACGCAUUCGACCGGGAUCGAAGGAUAGCCUAUCCCACGAUCACCUCGAAUGUUUGCACCGACGAAACCUGUGGGACUGUGGACCAAAUGGCCUCAACCGAACGAGGGUCCAGAGCCAGUGGAGCAGAUGAACGCAAUAAUGGAUGUUUACAUCCAUUAUUGCGUUCAUCCAUGACCGUUCUCGGGCCAUGGUCGGACCCCGCACAUCAGAUGCAAGCCCUACGAGUUGUUGCUGAGUUCCUCUCUAGCACUGGACUAAUGGACGAAUUCUAAUAGGACACUUUUCCAUCAUCAUCCCUUUCUCAUCCCUUCCGCAAGAGCAAUGGGGCAAGUGUACCGCCAUAACGGCGGUGAAUGACCCACCACAUCAUCAUCCCGCUUAUGUGUGUUUGUGCGCGCGCACGUUCAUACUGUCAGAUUAUUUCCAGUGUUCGCCCCAGUUUUAGCGCUCAUUUUGCUAAUUGUUGCAUUGCUUACACGCAGUGAUGGGCAGUAUACUUGAAGUACUCGAUACUUAAGUAGUACUUAAAGUACUAGGGGGUACUUUUACUUUACUUCAAGUAGUCCCUCGGAACAAUACUUUCUACUUUACUUGAAGUACGUAUUGCUGUACUUUCUGUUGAAGUACCUCAAGUAUCCUUCUGUGAGCCCUGCUAGCUCGCUGCACGACAGCCGGCGCCGCAUCCGGCCUGCCCACGGUGUUCAACUUCAUUGUGUUGUUGUUGUUGUUGUUGUUUUUAAGUGUUGAGAGAGGUCAGCCAAUACUUGGCUCGCUACUCUUCAAAAAAAGGAGAAAAAGUUUACCCGGACCAAAAAAAGAAAAAAUCAAACACACUAACACACUCACACUGUGGUGUUCACAGCACUGCGCUUCGGCCUAUUUAACCAGUUCGCAAUCCUAUCGGAGUCGAUAAAUUGGCCUGUCUCAAGACGCUCUUUCGCAUUGUUUGCGUCCGUGUGUGGCAUUUGAACGUAUGUAUGUGAAUAUUAGUCCCCACGAAGAGCUGAAAGCUCGAGUCCAAUAAACGAACGCAAC